GUGCAGUUUUGCUGUAUUGGGGGUCCAGGGGGUCCGAAAACCAGUCAGUAUCUGGUGUGGACACCAUUUGCCUCACACAAAUAAGGCAGAGAACACCUCGCCAAAGUGACAGACGGCAACGCAUGUGAGCAUUUGCCCACUCAAAUCGGUUACGACGACGAACUGCAGUCAGGACGAGACCCCAUUGAGGACGACGAGCAUGCAGAUGAGCUUCAGUGAGAGGCUUUCUGACAGUUUGAGCUGAAAUUCUGAAACCGAUUGUUGCAGCAGCUGUCCGGGUGGCUGGUCUUAGACAUCUUGGAGCGACGUCUUGUUCUUUAUGGAUCUUCAAUGACUCUAGGCGAGGUGGUGGCUUCCUCCUGGAGUCAGCCAGCUGCAUGACACCAGACAUAUUACACCCAUUUUGUAACUUCAACAGACAGUAACUGGACACCGUGUUUGUACCAUGCCACACUGACCAUGAUGCUAUAUGCUGCUCCACUGCCUGUCACUUUGCUUUUGGCUGGGAUGAUGCCUUGACUCAGCAGCUGCUCCAGAAUCAAACUAGACUCCGGUCUCUGACUUUGCCUUGGACUCUGAGCUAAGUGGUGGGAGAAUCCUAUUAACUGUCCUGGAUAGACCAAUGGCCUCUCCUGCCUCCAGAACAACUCCGCUGUCUGUUGUAUUUUUAGAGACGGCUGAGUCGCCACGAGGACUUCCAUGCACCUGAUCAGCCUGUGUGUUUA